rnacentral:rRNA from 1 species
UACAGAGGUCCCAAGCGUUGUUCGGAUUCACUGGGCGUAAAGGGUGCGUAGGCGGUUGGGUAAGUCUGACGUGAAAUCUCCGGGCCUAACCCGGAAACUGCAUUGGAUACUAUUCGGCUUGAGAGUUGGAGGGGGGACUGGAAUUCUUGGUGUAGCAGUGAAAUGCGUAGAUAUCAAGAGGAACACCAGUGGCGAAGGCGAGUCCCUGGACAACUUCUGACGCUGAGGCACGAAAGCUAGGGGAGCAAACAGG